CGGCGGGCGUUUCGGCGUUCCGUUCAACGCGGUNNGCUCGGUNCGUUCGCGCAUCCGGCCUCCGAAGNGCGUGCACUUCUNCCUCAGUACAACACCGCGACCCGUCGGUGCGGCGGUNUACCGCGUCCGGCAGAGAGUCCCGGCGCUCGGCUUCGGNCGGGCUCCGGAAUCUGCUCGGCGUCGCGGCCGCCGUCCGACGGUAGAGAACGAGGAUCGGGUUNGGCGCAUCGCGCGUCCGAAUCGGGGAGCGGCGUCCUGCGUUUCGGGCUCCGGCGUUUCGGCGUNGCAGUYCCGGGCGUACAGUCCUCUGGGCAAAGGGGCGUCGUCGCUUCGAUCUCCGAACCGGACCCGUCCCGGUCGGCGGUGGUUACGUUUCGGGAACUCACAGGACCCGUCUUGAAACACGGACCAAGGAGUCUAGCAUGCGCGCGAGUCAUAGGGAAGURAUAAACCCUGAGGCGCAAUGAAAGUGANNGGCCUCNCNNNCGAANNGACGAUGGCGAACGGCU
rnacentral:rRNA from 1 species